rnacentral:pre_miRNA from 1 species
AUUAGAUGAUGAUGAUGAUGAUGAUGAUGAUGAUGAUGAUCAUCAUCAUCAUCAUCAUCAUCAUCUUUUCCC